GCAGAUGUAGCCAAGUGGAUCAAGGCAGUGGAUUGUGAAUCCACCACGAGUGGGAGAUUUUCUCUUCAUCUGGG
rnacentral:tRNA from 1 species